rnacentral:rRNA from 1 species
CCGGUUGAUCCUGCCGGAGGCUACUGCUAUUGGAAUUCGACUAAGCCAUGCGAGUCAAGGUGUCUUCGGACGCCGGCAUACGGCUCAGUAACACGUAGGUAACCUACCCUCAGGACUGAGAUAACCCCGGGAAACUGGGGCUAAUAUUAGAUAGAUAAAAGAUACUGGAAUGUUCUUUUAUCCAAAGCUUUUGCGCCUGAGGAUGGGCCUGCGCCCGAUUAGGUUGUUGGUGGGGUAAUGGCCCACCAAGCCUACGAUCGGUACGGGCAGUGGGAGCUGAAGCCCGGAGUUGGGGACUGAGACAAGGCCCCAGGCCCUACGGGGCGCAGCAGGCGCGAAACCUCUGCAAUGCGGGAAACCGUGACAGGGGGAUUCCAAGUGCUCAUGCAUUGCAUGGGCUGUUCUUUGGUCUAAGUAACCAGAGGAGUAAGGGCUGGGCAAGACCGGUGCCAGCCGCCGCGGUAAUA